rnacentral:siRNA from 1 species
CAUGCCUUCAACAUGUGGGUC